rnacentral:rRNA from 1 species
AAUAUUGGACAAGGGGGGCAACCCUGAUCCAGCCAUGCCGCGUGUUUGAAUAAGGUCUUCGGUUUGUAAAUCACUUUAUGUUGGGAGGUGGGGCUUUAGGCUAAUACCCUGAAGUUCUCACGUUACCAACAGAAUAAGCACCGGCUAACUCUGUGCCAGCAGCCGCGGUAAUACUGAGGGUGCAAGCGUUAAUCGGAAUUACUGGGCGUAAAGCGCGCGUAGGUGGUUCAGUAAGAUGGGUGUGAAAUCCCCGGGCUUAACCUGGGAACUGCUUUCAUAACUGCUGAGCUAGAGUACGGUAGAGGGUAGUGGAAUUUCCUGUGUAGCGGUGAAAUGCGUAGAUAUAGGAAGGAACACCAGUGGCGAAGGCGACUACCUGGACUGAUACUGACACUGAGGUGCGAAAGCGUGGGGAGCAAACA